rnacentral:rRNA from 1 species
UACGGGGGGAGCAAGCGUUGUUCGGAUUUACUGGGCGUAAAGGGCGCGUAGGCGGCCACCGCAAGUCGACUGUGAAAUCUCCGGGCUUAACCCGGAAAGGUCAGCCGAUACUGCGGGGCUAGAGUGCAGAAGGGGCAACUGGAAUUCUCGGUGUAGCGGUGAAAUGCGUAGAUAUCGAGAGGAACACCUGCGGCGAAGGCGGGUUGCUGGGCUGACACUGACGCUGAGGCGCGAAGCUAGGGGAGCGAACGGG